UACGGAGGGAGCUAGCGUUGUUCGGAAUUACUGGGCGUAAAGCGCGCGUAGGCGGCUCAUCAAGUCAGAGGUGAAAGCCCGGGGCUCAACCCCGGAAAGCCGGUGGAAACUGUCAAGCUUGAGUCCGGAAGAGGCGAGUGGAAUUCCUGGUGUAGCGGUGAAAUGCGCAGAUAUCAGGAGGAACACCAAUGGCGAAGGCAGUUCGCUGGGACGGUACUGACGCUGAGACGCGAAAGCGUGGGGAGCAAACAGG
rnacentral:rRNA from 1 species